rnacentral:sRNA from 1 species
UUCUUCAAUUGAAGGCCGGAGGAUCAUAUCGGGUUCCAGGAGCCUCUUGAGCAGGUCCUGGCAAUCGGCCGAGAUGCUCAGAUGAGUGGGGAAGGACACCCCCUUCUGCUGCUGCCACAGCAUCUUGGGGAUGUCUGUGUCGUCAAAAGGUAGGCUGGCACAGAGCAUGACAUACAGGACCACACCCAUGCUCCAGACAUCACCUUUUUUGCUAUCGUGGGGAAUGCCCUGCAGCACCUCGGGGGCAGCAUAGGCUGUACUGCCGCAGAAGGUCUGGCUCAGCUCCCGGUGUGACUUGGGCAACACCUUGGCAAAGCCAAAGUCAGUCAGCUUCAGGUUGAAGCCCUGCAACAAGGCGUUCUCACAUUUGAGGUCCCGGUGGGCCACACCAAAGCCAUGGCAGUAGCGGAUGGCCUCAACCAUCUGACGGAAGAGGGCCUUGGCCCGGCUUUCAGGCAGUGGCCCCCCAUUCAGCACGCAGUCAAAGACAUCCCCUCCCUCAGCCAGCUCCAUUACCAGGCAGAUUUUCCCGUCGGCAGACUCCAGCAUCUCAUACACCUGGAUGAUGUUCUUGUGGUCCAGGGUACGGACGAUUUGGAGCUCCCGAGGGAGGAAUCUCUGGAUAAACUCUGAGGAAGUAAGGGGAGGAGAGAUGGGCUGGCAGAUCAGAAAGGCCCACCUCCUCACACCUGUCUCCUGCCUUCCAACUUCUGCCCACCUUGUCUGGGUCUUAUUUCUUGGCUUUCUUAAUGGUCUUAAAUGUGUCUAGCUGCUUGGACAUUGCAAAGAAUGUUCACUUCUGUUAUUUUUGUCAUUAGUAUAUCAUUCAAAAGAAGCACUCCCCACCAGCCUUGUGGACUGUUGUGAGCAGUCUGUGAGACUGGAUAUCAAGGUGCUUUAGGGACUUUUAGAGAAAGCCACAGAAUCACAAAUUAUAAGGCCUGAUUUGUCCACAGGGUGAGGGACUUUUAGAGAAAGCCACAGAAUCACAAAUUAUAAGGCCUGAUUUGUCCACAGGGUGGUGAGCCAGCUCCUCCCGCCGCUGUCCCCUGACCCCACAAUUCUUUCCAUGAGCCCUGUCUUCCUUUUUCCCAUCUCCACGGGCCUUGGCACCAGCCCCUGUUCUCUACUAGCCCUGGUUGUGGCCUCUGCCAGUCUCUGUUCCCCUGCCGGAAAGGAAAGCCUGGCUCAGGUUUUGCCUCUGAGGAUCCUUCACCUCAUACCACUUUCAUCUUGCAUUCUGUGGGGGUGUAAUGUUCCUGGACUCCCAGAACCCCUAUGUUCCCCACUGACCCACUCCAGAGCUGCCAUCGGGCUUGCUUGGUUCCAGGCCAGCGGGAGCAGGGAAUGAUCGAAUGAUCUUUCUAACAAACAGGAGGAAGCACCCACCCACCUCAGCCAGCCCUCCCUCCUUCCCUCCAAAGGGGCCCCGGCUCACCUUCUGGCCCUCCCAUCUUGUCUAUAACUUUAAUUGCCACUUUUCUUUGGUGUUUUUUGGAAAAUGCUUCUUUGACUUUUGAGUAGGUCCCUUCCCCAAUGGUCUUGCCCAGCUGGUACCCAUUGGAGAGCAGAAAGUCCUCCAUGCUGUCUAGCGCCGCCUUCCUAUCACCCUCUCAGCUCAUGCUGCCUCUGAGAGGCAGCUCUACUCCACCAUCGCCCUUGGCCUGCUCCUUUUCUCCCCAAGGACUUCAUCCGCAGCCGCCCCCAGCGUUAGAACAUUCUCUGUCUGGACACAGCGGCGGGUGGUGGGGAGGGACAGGGUCAGACAUUUUUAAGCUCCGGUGCAAUUGUGAUGUAGAUGCUGUGUGACCCUUGGCCAAAAUGGGCAGUGCCCCUACCUGCCUUCACUACCACCACCAAACCCAGCCCGGAUUAAGUCACCGCCGAGCCCGCGCCCGCGCCAGGCACUGAGUCGUAGUCCCGCCUGGGAGGGCGCUCCGCCGCGUCUGUGUGGGCCGGGAAUGCGCGGCUCCUCGGCGUGGACGCCGCCUCGCGGCGGGUUGCCCUGGCCUGCUGCGCCCCCCUCGGGUGUCCGGGGUCUGCGCGACCCCGUCUCCAGGCGCCAUGGCCAGAGCCCUCCAGUCCCCGAUUCUGGCCCUCGCUGAGUGCCAGGGGCGGCAGGGGGCACCGUUGGGGGUUCUCCAGUGGGAGGAACGUGCUCUGUGAGGUCAGCGCGCCGCGGCCCGGGUCACAAUGCUGCCCUCCUCGACGCCCGGGCCGGGCACGCCACAGAGACCUGCCCGGCUCCGCCUGGACCGGAGCGUUCUCCCGCGGCAAGGGCUCGGGCAGCUGCUUCUAGCCUGGGACCGGUCUCAGCCGCCGGGAGGUGAGCGACGGCCCAGGGGGCGGGCGCGAGGCGGCAGCGCCCGGCGACCCGGGAGAGGCCUGACCGCCACUCCCCGCGCAGAGCGCCCCGGGGCUUGGACAUGAGCGCCCAGGAGCCCCCGCAGGGUCGGAGAUUCCCCAUUGAGGCCGGAGACUCCCGUGGCCUUGCCGCCGCCCCCGAGUCCCAGGACAGCCCAGAGGCGGUAGCGACGGAGCACAACCCGGUCAGGCCGCUUCGUCGCUGCCCUGGAUGCCACUGCCUGACGCUGCUGCACGUACCCAUCGACGUCUACCUCGCCAUGGGCGGGAGCCCCCGGGCCCGCGCCACGUGAGUGCGCCUGCUCCCUGCGGCUCCGCGGGAGCUGGGCGGGAACGAGGCCCCCGCGGGCCACCACGCUGAGGUCGCAUGCGCCGAGCACGAGACAAUGAUGCACAUUUUAAAAUAAAAGAAUGAUGCACAUUUUAAUAAAGCACAGCAUAAACUGUUCUUUCC